GUGAGAUCCUACAAAGAUCCAGAACAUUCUAGGAGAUAAUGAAAAACGUAUCCACAUAUGGAACACCUGAAACAUCUGACUUCAACAUUCUGUUUUCCCUUUUGUCACUAACAACAAAAACAGUACCCCAAGCUUGGUGCCCCACAAGCUCAACGCCACAGUCACCUGCUGCUGAAUCGGGCUCUGCCCAUAACACAGGCCAGCUGCAUCCUCCAUGCCCGAGGGCAGCUUUCCUAACCCUCUCACAAAGCCGCUCCCUACUUUCCCCAUACACCUGCUUUGAACACAGGAGGAUCUGUGGCUGUCGAGACUCUUAAAAAACCCACUAGCUGUUGGCAGGCGCAGCCAGGUGGAGACAGACAAGUCAAUGAUGCCUUACUUACCCUGAUAAGACACCCAGCACCAGGUUGAGCAUGAAGAAAGAGCCAAUGAUGAUAAGCGGGAUGAAGUAAAGCCAGUUCCAGAUGACAGAGCAGAUCUGGUACUUAGCUCGACUUCGGCUGGACAGUUUGGUAGAAGCAAUACCAGCAGAUCUUUCCAGCCAAAUGAAACUGGCAGGGGAGUGGCCUAAAUAUUAGAAGAUUCACACCAAUACUGAGGUUUGCGUGGCCUCAAAAGGAGAAGUGGUAGAUGGAUCUGACAGAGGCAACAUUGUGAAAGAUCCCAUGAAAACUGAUCAGUCUUUGAAAUUAAUGGGCAGUAAACUUAUCAAAAUCAUACUCUUCCACACAUUGUAUUCCUCCAAGCCCUUUUCUUUUGCAAUCCCAGAACUCCUGGAAUUAAAAGCAAUAG